rnacentral:rRNA from 1 species
UACGAAGGGGGCUAGCGUUGUUCGGAAUUACUGGGCGUAAAGCGUGCGCAGGCGGCUUCUCAAGUCAGGGGUGAAAGCCCAGAGCUCAACUCUGGAAUUGCCUUUGAGACUGAGUGGCUUGAGUACGAGAGGAGGUGAGUGAAUUCCCAGUGUAGAGGUGAAAUUCGUAGAUAUUGGGAAGAACACCGGUGGCGAAGGCGGCUCACUGGCUCGUAACUGACGCUCAUGCACGACAGCGUGGGGAUCAAACAGG